rnacentral:rRNA from 1 species
GAUGAACGCUAGCGGCAGGCUUAACACAUGCAAGUCGAGGGGUAACAGGAGUGCUUGCACUCGCUGACGACCGGCGCACGGGUGCGUAACGCGUAUAGAACUUACCUUUUACAGAGGGAUAGCCUUUAGAAAUGAAGAUUAAUACCUCAUAGUAUUGAGACUCGGCAUCGAGUCUCACUUAAAGAUUUAUCGGUAAAAGAUGGCUAUGCGUCCUAUUAGUUAGUUGGUAAGGUAACGGCUUACCAAGGCAGCGAUAGGUAGGGGUCCUGAGAGGGAGAUCCCCCACACUGGUACUGAGACACGGACCAGACUCCUACGGGAGGCAGCAGUGAGGAAUAUUGGGCAAUGGAGGCAACUCUGACCCAGCCAUGCCGCGUGCAGGAAGACUGCCCUAUGGGUUGUAAACUGCUUUUAUACAGGAAGAAACACUGCUACGUGUAGCAGCUUGACGGUACUGUAAGAAUAAGGACCGGCUAACUCCGUG